AACGAACGCUGGCGGCAUGCCUAACACAUGCAAGUCGAACGAGACCUUCGGGUCUAGUGGCGCACGGGGGGGUAAGGCGGGGGAAGCUGCCCGUAGGUACGGAGUAACUCCCCGAGAGGGGACCUAAUACAGGUUAGGGUCUUCGCGCCAAGGAGUUAUCGCCUUUGGAUGGGGCUGGGUAGGAUUGGGCAGUUGGUAGGGUAAACGCAUGCCAAGGGCACGAUGCAUGGCUGGUGGGGGAGCAUGACCAUCCACACUGGGACUGAGACACGGCCCACACUCCUACGGGAGGGUGCAGUGGGGAAUAUUGGACGCUGGGGGAAAGCCUGAUCCAGCAGUGCCGCGUAAGACAGGAAGGCGUUAGGGUUGUAAAGCUCUUUGACACGGGAUGAGAAUGACAGUACCGGGAGAAGAAGCUCCGGCUAACUACGUG
rnacentral:rRNA from 1 species